ACGCACGCUGGCGGCGUGCUUCACCCCUGCCAGUCGAACGGAAAGGCCCUGCUUUUGUGGGGUGCUCGAGUGGCGAACGGGUGAGUAACACGUGAGUAACCUGCCCUUGACUUUGGGAUAACUUCAGGAAACUGGGGCUAAUACCGGAUAGGAGCUCCUGCUGCAUGGUGGGGGUUGGAAAGUUUCGGCGGUUGGGGAUGGACUCGCGGCUUAUCAGCUUGUUGGUGGGGUAGUGGCUUACCAAGGCUUUGACGGGUAGCCGGCCUGAGAGGGUGACCGGCCACAUUGGGACUGAGAUACGGCCCAGACUCCUACGGGAGGCAGCAGUGGGGAAUAUUGCACAAUGGGCGGAAGCCUGAUGCAGCAACGCCGCGUGCGGGAUGACGGCCUUCGGGUUGUAAACCGCUUUCGCCUGUGACGAAGCGUGAGUGACGGUAAUGGGUAAAGAAGCACCGGCUAACUACGU
rnacentral:rRNA from 1 species